rnacentral:rRNA from 1 species
UACAGAGGGUGCGAGCGUUGUUCGGAAUUACUGGGCGUAAAGCGCGCGCAGGCGGCUCUUUAAGUCUCGUGGUCAAAUGCCGGGGCUCAACCCCGAGCGUGCCGGGGAUACUGGAGGGCUGGAGACAGGUAGAGGCAAGCGGAAUUCCGGGUGUAGCGGUGGAAUGCGUAGAGAUCCGGAAGAACACCGGAGGCGAAGGCGGCUUGCUGGACCUGGUCUGACGCUGAGGCGCGAAGGCGUGGGGAGCGAACGGG